CCUGAAAGGGCAGGGUGCCCGCAAGGGAGCGUGGAGACAGGUGGUGCAUGGCUGUCGUCAGCUCGUGUCGUGAGAUGUUGGGUUAAGUCCCGCAACGAGCGCAACCCUCACCCCUAGUUGCCACCGGGUAAAGCCGAGCACUCGAGGGGAACCGCCAGCGUCAAGCUGGAGGAAGGCGGGGAUGACGUCAAGUCAUCAUGCCCCUUACGCCCUGGGUACACACGUGCUACAAUGGCCAGUACAAAGGGAUGCGAGGCCGCAAGGUGGAGCUAAUCCCAGAAAGCUGGUCUAAGUUCGGAUUGCAGUCUGCAACUCGACUGCAUGAAGUAGGAAUCGCUAGUAAUCGCGCAUCAGCACGGCGCGGUGAAUACGUUCCCGGGCCUUGUACACACCGCCCGUCACACCACGAAAGCUGU
rnacentral:rRNA from 1 species